rnacentral:rRNA from 1 species
UAGGGAAUCUUCCACAAUGGAUGCAAGUCUGAUGGAGCAACGCCGCGUGAGUGAAGAAGGUUUUCGGACCGUAAAGCUCUGUUGUUGGUGAAGAAGGAUAGAGGUAGUAACUGGCCUUUAUUUGACGGUAAUCAACCAGAAAGUCACGGCUAACUACGUGCCAGCAGCCGCGGUAAUACGUAGGUGGCAAGCGUUGUCCGGAUUUAUUGGGCGUAAAGCGAGCGCAGGCGGAAGAAUAAGUCUGAUGUGAAAGCCCUCGGCUUAACCGAGGAAUUGCAUCGGAAACUGUUUUCUUGAGUGCAGAAGAGGAGAGUAGAACUCCAUGUGUAGCGGUGGAAUGCGUAGAUAUAUGGAAGAAUACCAGUGGCGAAGGCGGCUCUCUGGUCUGCAACUGACGCUGAGGCUCGAAAGCAUGGGUAGCGAACAGGAUUAGAUACCCUGGUAGUCCAUGCCGUAAACGAUGAGUGCUAAG